AUUGAACGCUGGCGGCAUGCUUUACACAUGCAAGUCGAACGGUAACAGGUUAAGCUGACGAGUGGCGAACGGGUGAGUAAUGCAUCGGAACGUGCCCGGUCGUGGGGGAUAACGCAGCGAAAGCUGCGCUAAUACCGCAUACGAUCUGAGGAUGAAAGCGGGGGACCGUAAGGCCUCGCGCGAUCGGAGCGGCCGAUGUCAGAUUAGGUAGUUGGGGGGGUAAAGGCUCACCAAGCCAACGAUCUGUAGCUGGUCUGAGAGGACGACCAGCCACACUGGGACUGAGACACGGCCCAGACUCCUACGGGAGGCAGCAGUGGGGAAUUUUGGACAAUGGGCGAAAACCUGAUCCAGCAAUGCCGCGUGCAGGAAGAAGGCCUUCGGGUUGUAAACUGCUUUUGUACGGAGCGAAAAGGUCUCCUCUAAUACAGGGGGCUCAUGACGGUACCGUAAGAAUAAGCACCGGCUAACUACGUGCCAGCAGCCGCCGUAA
rnacentral:rRNA from 1 species